CAGGCAGCCGUCCAUAGGGUGUAUUACGUAAUGUGCCUCCUCCGUCUUUGAGGCCCGAUUCCCCACAGAUUAGGCCAAGAGAUCCAAAAUCCUUCAGUUAGUUAAGCUUUGAAAAAGACCUUUGUGGCUACUUCUAGGAAUCCCAGCACAUACCUUCCCAAAUGUAAUCCAUCUUUUUAGAGCAUUCUCUGCAGGCAGUGAUGAAGGUUUUUCUUAGGACUAAAUCUCUGGGUUGGAACUGCCGGAUCUUGGCCCUUUUGUUAUAGCUGGAAAAGAGCUACUGCUGGUAGGCUGCGAUGCGGAUGAUGACCUUUUUGCAUUUUUCCUCUGCCAAAUCUAAGUUGUGGUUAUCUCAUUUCUGUUCUGCUCCUCUGCCAAAUCUAUAUGAAGCACUCUAUGUUCGUCUGAGUUAUGGUCGUCAGGGGCUCUACUUCCACCUACUUGGUGAAGUAGUCAGUUACCAUGAUUAUCAUGCCUCUGCCCCCAGUAGCGGGUGACAUUGGCCCUACCAAGUCAAUUGCCCACUGCAUGUAGUAGCGUGCUACCCUUGUUUGGGGCUUUCUAGACUCUAAUCUUUCCAUGGGGAGUGUGCCAUUAACUAGGUAGUCUAUUAUGGAAUCUUACCAAUUUGGAGUUGUACUAACUUGUGACACCUCGGCUGCUGGCUCUGCCUCUAUGCUUGGCUUAUCUAGAUACUCCACCAGAAUAGAGCGUUUGAGUUGGUGGUCAAGGGUGAAGCUUAGGCCGGUUAGCGCGUUUGAGUGAGGGUGUAAGUCUGAAAUGCCUCACGUUGCUUUUGUACCUUCUCUAAGUAUUGCGCCAUCUUCAUAUGUUUUGCCGUCUAUUCCCUAGUAGUCUGGCUGGUGAUUAGCUGGGAAUCAGAACGAAUUAUAAGCUUUUUCUCUGUUAAGUGUUUUACCAUUCGGAGGCCUAGUAGUAGGGCUUUGUACUCUGCUUCGUUGUUGGAUGCUUUGAAGCCUAUAGUGAUUACCUACUCGAGCAUUGAACUGUCUGGAUCACGCUUGCUUUCUAGCCCUCGUAGUUAGAUGCGUUGUCGAUGUGUAAAUGCCAGAAGUCUUCAUCGAUUGAAGCAUGCGUGGCUAGGGCGUGUUCAGUUGCCUUCGAGGCAUUAUUAGGUUGCUCUGUUGCUUCACUUAAGCUAGGCGUGAAGGCGCAGUAGGAAGUCGUGGAGCUUGGGCCAUGUUAAACGUAGCAAGGGAUGCUCAACUGGCGAUAUUGGGCCACUCUAGAGCUGAAUUAUGGAGCAAGGAUCGGCUGGGGCCAUGUGAUGCACAACAAGAGAUGAUGCUCAACUGCUGGUAUAUGUUGCUAAUGUGAAUAAUUUUUUGGGGCAAUGAGGACAAAACUUGUUUCUGAGUGUGUUCUUCUAGUGUUCGUUUGCCCUUGGCGCACCUUUUAGGUUGAGUUGUUGCGUUCGUUAGAAAACUUUGCAUCAGCCAGUGCCUGCGCCAAUAUCGUCGCGCGUCUGGAUUGGGCAGAAUAAUGUGUCAUGAAGAUGACUGCUUGUGUUUGAAGGUAUAACUUGAGCUUGUGGGUUGCAACAACUGUCACCAAAGUUAGCUUUUGAAUUUCUGGUAGCUGGUUUCCGCAUCGAGGAGAGCUUUUGAACUGUGGAAUAUAGGUAAUCGGGCCCCUAGCUUUUCUCGUAUGAGGGUAUAGCUUAUUGUUGCUUCAUAUACCGUCAAACAUGUGAAUAGGUCCUUUACUACUUCAGGUUUGGAUACUAGGGAGGUGAUGUUAGGUACUUCUUCAAGUCUUUGAAUGUGCAUUGGCGAGCCUUGUCCCAAAGUGCAUGAUUCUCCGCCAGAGCGAAAGAGUUUGCCAGAGUUAGAUCUUCUUUCAUGAUCAACUCUUCGAACAGCGGGUGGUCUACUAAAAGUCCUUUUUGGAAGGUUGCUCUAGCUAUCAAGUCGUUGCAUCCGACUAUCUUUGCCUUCUCUACUUUGAACCUCUUCACAUAGUCGCGAAGCGACUCCUUUGGGUUCUUCUUGACGUUGAACAAGUGGUCGGACUUCUUCUUAAUCAAGCGAUAUGAUGAUUAUUCUUUGGUGAAAACCAAAGAAAGUUCGUCGAAACUUCGGAUGGAUUGUGGUGGCAGGGUGUAGAACCAAUCUUGCACCUCGCCUUGUAGAGUGGUGGUGAAUAUCUUGCCCAUGAGAUCAUUGUUGUUUUGAUAGAGGAUCAUUGCACUUCAGUAGUGCUUUAGGUGCCUCCCGAGGCCCCAUCUCAUUUGAAUGAUGUGAAAUAUGGCAUGCUUAAUUUGUGUGGAGGCUCUACCUGCUCUAUCUAAUCCGUGAAGGGUGACCUAUUUAUGUUGGUCACAUCCUGUUACAGUGCCUCGUCAAUGACCUUGUUGCGUUGGAAAUCAUGCAAUCGCUUGGUCAUGAGCCUCUCUACUUCUUCCUGAAUUUACCUUUGUUGGGGGUAGCAGAGCUCUCGAUUGCCCCUAGUCAGGACCUAUUAGUCUAGGUUGCUCUUCCAUGUGUUCGGCUCAUCCAUGCCACGGUUGCAAUACAUGUGAUACAUUUCUAGUAGGUGAACGAAUUACUCGUAGGUUACCGGUUGAACUUGAGUCAGAUUAUGUGACUACUUAUCUCCA
rnacentral:lncRNA from 1 species